rnacentral:rRNA from 1 species
GACGAACGCUGGCGGCGUGCUUAACACAUGCAAGUCGAGCGAUGAAGCACCUUCGGGUGUGAAUUAGCGGCGAACGGGUGAGGAACACGUGAGAAAUCUGCCUUCAACUCUGGGAUAACUCCGUGAAAACGGGGCUAAUACCGGAUAUGAAACCUGCGGGCAUCCGCGGGUUUGGAAAGUUUUUCGGUUGAAGAUGAUCUCGCGGCCUAUCAGCUUGUUGGUGAGGUAAUGGCUCACCAAGGCGACGACGGGUAGCCGGCCUGAGAGGGCGACCGGCCACACUGGGACUGAGACACGGCCCAGACUCCUACGGGAGGCAGCAGUGGGGAAUAUUGGGCAAUGGAGGAAACUCUGACCCAGCGACGCCGCGUGCGGGGAUGAAGGCCUUCGGUUGUAAACCGCUUUCAGCAGGGAAGAAGCGAAAGUGACGGUACCUGCAGAAAAAGCACCGGCUAACUACGUG